CAGUCGCCGCGGUAAUACGAAGGGUGCAAGCGUUAAUCGGAAUUACUGGGCGUAAAGCGUGCGUAGGCGGUGAGUUAAGUCUGCUGUGAAAUCCCCGGGCUCAACCUGGGAAUGGCAGUGGAUACUGGCUCGCUAGAGUGUGUCAGAGGAUGGUGGGAUUCCCGGUGUAGCGGUGAAAUGCGUAGAGAUCGGGAGGAACAUCAGUGGCGAAGGCGGCCAUCUGGGACAACACUGACGCUGAGGCACGAAAGCGUGGGGAGCAAACAGGAUUAGAUACCCCCGUAGUCCCUGUCUCUUAUAC
rnacentral:rRNA from 1 species